CUUUAAAUUUUCCAAAAAAAAUAAAAUAAAAGUUAUUUUUGAAACUUUUUUUCUGGGAAGUAAGAUAAUAUUGUAUAUAUUUACCUCCCUUCAUUGUAUUUUAAUUGUAAAUGAACGAUUAACAUAGGAUAUAUUCAUCUCCCUUUAGUGCAUUUAAAUUGUGAACGGACUAUUAACAUAGGAUAUAUUUACCUCCUUUUAGUGUAUUCAACCGUGUACGUAAGUAUAACGGAGGAAAAAUUUACCCCCGUCCAGAAAUAUUUACCGGGAGUCAAAUAUAACCUAGGAUAUUUUCAUCUCCCUAAAAUUUCGUUUGUGAUAAAUUUUUCCUAGGAUAUUUUUUCCGGUGCUGGUAAAUAUUAUUAGGG